rnacentral:rRNA from 1 species
CCUACGGGUGGCAGCAGUGGGGAAUAUUGCACAAUGGGGGAAACCCUGAUGCAGCAACGCCGCGUGGGUGAAGAAGUAUUUCGGUAUGUAAAGCCCUAUCAGCAGGGAAGAGAAUGACGGUACCUGACUAAGAAGCCCCGGCUAACUACGUGCCAGCAGCCGCGGUAAUACGUAGGGGGCAAGCGUUAUCCGGAUUUACUGGGUGGAAAGGGAGCGUAGACGGUUGUGCAAGUCUGAAGUGAAAGCCCGCGGCUCAACUGCGGAACGGCUUUGGAAACUGUGUAACUGGAGUGCUGGAGAGGUAAGCGGAAUUCCUGGUGUAGCGGGGAAAUGCUUAGAUAUCACGAAGAACCCCGAUUGCGAAGGCAGCUUACUAAACUGUGACUGACAUUGAUGCUCGAAAGUGUGGGUAUCAAACAGGAUUAGAUACCCGGGUAGUC